rnacentral:rRNA from 1 species
GACGAACGCUGGCGGCGUGCCUAAUACAUGCGAGUAGAACGCUGAAGGAGGAGCUUGCUUCUCUGGAUGAGUUGCGAACGGGUGAGUAACGCGUAGGUAACCUGCCUGGUAGCGGGGGAUAACUAUUGGAAACGAUAGCUAAUACCGCAUAAUAGCAGUUGUUGCAUGACAACUGUUUGAAAGGUGCAAUUGCACCACUACCAGAUGGACCUGCGUUGUAUUAGCUAGUUGGUGGGGUAACGGCUCACCAAGGCGACGAUACAUAGCCGACCUGAGAGGGUGGUCGGCCACACUGGGACUGAGACACGGCCCAGACUCCUACGGGAGGCAGCAGUAGGGAAUCUUCGGCAAUGGACGGAAGUCUGACCGAGCAACGCCGCGUGAGUGAGGAAGGUUUUCGGAUCGUAAAGCUCUGUUGUAAGAGAAGAACGAGUGUGAGAGUGGAAAGUUCACACUGUGACGGUAUCUUACCAGAAAGAGACGGCUAACUACGUG